UCAAACCGGCGUAAGCCAGGUUGGUUUCUAUCCUUAAAUAAAAUAAAUAUUUUAGUACGAAAGGAUUGAAUAUUUAAAAUAAUUUUUAAAAAAUUGAAUAAAAUUAAU
rnacentral:rRNA from 2 species